rnacentral:rRNA from 1 species
AUGGUGACGAGGCCAUUGUCUUCAGUGUUGAAGAUGGACUUGGCGAUGUAUGCUGAGGCUAGAGCCAGGCUUGCCACGCCUGAAUCAGAUUCCUCUUCAGACUCCAUCUCCACCUCCUCAGAUGCAGACUCCUCCUCUGAAUCCAUCUCCUUGCCAACAAACGCACGAGCCUUGCUGGAUGAGCUCUUCUUGUGUGAUGAAGACUUUGACGAAGACUUAGAAAAAGACUUUGAUGAUUUCUUCUUCUUCUUGUCAUCAGAAUCAUAUUCCUUGCUCUUCUUCUUCUUGUUGUUGCUCUCAUUGUCCCAUUGA